GGUGGGUUUCCCGAGCGGUCAAAGGGGUCAGACUAUAAAUCUGAUGGCAGCGCCUUCGAAGGUUCGAAUCCUUCACCCACCA
rnacentral:tRNA from 1 species